UGGGGGUCUCCCGGGGCGGCCGGUGACCCCUCCUGCCGCCGGGCUCCCUCCUCCCGGCACAGGCGCCGGCUGGUUUUUUCUCCCCAGCUCUUGCCCGGAGCGGCUGCCGGCAGGACAGACCCCUCCGGCCUGGCGCCGGCUCUGCCGGAGCCGGGGAGAGCUCGGACCGCUCAAAGCGUGCUGUGGCGGGAGCAGAGGCCGCUGCAGGGACCCACGCCGGCUCCUGCAGCCCCGUGGGCGAGACGGUGGAGCCGGCCUGGCCGGGCACGGGCAGCGACGGCCAUCCCGGUGCCAGGUGGCUGUGCCGACGCGUGGGGAAGGCUCAUCCCGGUGCCCGGGCGAGGAGCACAGCCCCGAGGCGGUGAGCGCCGGGGGACACCGGCGGCGAGGACGUGCCCGGUGAGGGACGGACGGACGGAUGGACGGAGGACCCCAGCCACGCCGGGAGCUGCGGAGCCCCCAGGAAGAAGCCGGGCUGCCUGCGCCCAGGCCGACGCUGCC